AUAUAUGGGUCUUGUUUGUGUAUCCAUUCAUCCAGUCUAUGUCUUUUGGUUGGGGCAUUUAGUCCAUUAACAUUUAAAGUAAUUAUUGAUAUAUAUGUUCUCAUUGCCAUUUUACUAAUUGCUUUGGAUUUGUUUUUGUUGCUCUUUUUUCUUCCCUUCUCUUGUUCUCUCCUCUUCUGGUUUGAUGACUAUCUUUAGUGUUGUAUUUGAGUUGAUUUUUUUUGUUUUGUUUUGUUGCCUCUUCUAGGGGCAGCCCUGCAGCAUAUGGAGGUUCCCAGGCUAGGGGUCUAAUCAGAGCUGUGGCCAUCAGCCUAUGCCAGAGCCACAGCAACACAGCAUCAUAGCCGAGUUUGCGACCUACACCACAGCUCAUAGCAAUGCCAGAUCCUUAACCCACUGAGCAUGGCCAGGGAUCAAACUUGCAACCUCAUGAUUCCUAGUUGGAUUUGUUAACCACUGAGCAAUGACUGGAACUCUGUAAUUUAUUUUUCUUAUUUGUUUGUGUAUCAAUUGUAGAUUUUUGGUUUGUAGUUAUUCUGAAGUUUUGAUAAAAGAGUCUAUAUAUAUAUAAGAUUGUUUUAAGUUGUUGGUCUCUUAAUUGCAAGUGCUUAUCCAGUGUCCUGCAUUUGUACCCUCCUCUUCUCAUGAUUUCUGAUUCUGGUGGCAUAAUUGUGCAUGGAUGAUUUUGUAUCUUUACUGUAUAUAUACCUUUACCAGUGAACCUUGUCUUUGUGAUAUUUUUGUUUCUGGUUGCAACCUUUUCUUUUCUGCCUAGAGACGUUUCCUUUAGUAUUUGUUGUAAAGCUGGUUUAGUGUUGCUGAAUUCUCUCAGCUUUUGCUUAUCUGUGAAGUUUUUGAUUUCUCCUUCAAAUCUGAAUGAGAGCCUUGCUGGGUAAAGUAAUCUUGGUUGGAGGUUUUUUCCUUUCAUCACGUGAAGUAUAUCAUGCCGUUCUCUUCCAGCCUGCAGAGUUUCUGCUGAAAAAUCUGCUGAUAACCUUAUUGGGGUUCCCUUGCAUGUUACUUGUUUCUUUUCCCUAGCUGCUCUCAAUGUUUUCUCUUUGUCUUUAAUUUCCGUCAGUUUGAUAUGUGUCUCAGGGUGUUCCUCAUCCUUGGGUUUAUUGUAUAUGGCACUCAUUGCACUUCCUGGAUUUGAGGGAGCAGCUACUUUCCCAUGUUAGGGAAGUUUUUGGUUAUUACCUCUUUGAAUAUUUUUUCUGUCCCUUUAUCUCUCUCUUCUCUUUCUGGCACCCCUAUAAUAUGGAUGUUGGUGCAUUUAACAUUCAGAGUCCUCUGAGACUCUCUUCAUUUGUUUUCAAUCUUUUUUUCUCUUUUCUGUUCCACACCCAUAAUUUCUACUAGUCUGUCCUCCACCUUGCUUAUUCGUUCCUCUGCCUCCUGUAUUCUGCUGUUG
rnacentral:lncRNA from 1 species